GGUUAAGUGACUAAGCGUACACGGUGGAUGCCUUGGCAGUCAGAGGCGAUGAAAGACGUAGUAACUUGCGAUAAGCCCAGAUUAGGUAGUAACAACCAUUUGAGUCUGGGAUUUCUGAAUGGGGAAACCCACGUGCAUAAGCACGUAUCCUUACCUGAAUACAUAGGGUAAGGAGGCGAACCGGGGGAACUGAAACAUCUAAGUACCCCGAGGAAAAGAAAUCAACCGAGAUUCCGAAAGUAGCGGCGAGCGAAAUUGGACUAGCCCUUAAGCUUUACACGCGUUAGACGAACGGUCUGGAAAGUCCGACGAUACAGGGUGAUAGUCCCGUAGUUGACGACGUGUGUUCAGUGAAAUCGAGUAGGGCGGGACACGUGAUAUCCUGUCUGAAUAUGGGGGGACCAUCCUCCAAGGCUAAAUACUACUGACUGACCGAUAGUGAACCAGUACCGUGAGGGAAAGGCGAAAAGAACCCCUGUGAGGGGAGUGAAAUAGAACCUGAAACCGUGUACGUACAAGCAGUAGGAGCAGGCUUUGUCCUGUGACUGCGUACCUUUUGUAUAAUGGGUCAGCGACUUAUAUUCAGUGGCAAGGUUAACCAUCUAGGGGAGCCGUAGGGAAACCGAGUCUUAACUGGGCGUUCAGUCUCUGGAUAUAGACCCGAAACCAGGUGAUCUAGCCAUGGGCAGGUUGAAGGUUGAGUAACAUCAACUGGAGGACCGAACCGACUAAUGUUGAAAAAUUAGCGGAUGACUUGUGGCUAGGGGUGAAAGGCCAAUCAAACCUGGAGAUAGCUGGUUCUCCCCGAAAGCUAUUUAGGUAGCGCCUCGGACGAAUACUACUGGGGGUAGAGCACUGUUAAGGCUAGGGGGUCAUCCCGACUUACCAACCCUUUGCAAACUCCGAAUACCAGUAAGUACUAUCCGGGAGACACACGGCGGGUGCUAACGUCCGUCGUGGAGAGGGAAACAACCCAGACCGCCAGCUAAGGUCCCAAAUUACUACUAAGUGGGAAACGAUGUGGGAAGGCUCAGACAGCCAGGAUGUUGGCUUAGAAGCAGCCAUCAUUUAAAGAAAGCGUAAUAGCUCACUGGUCGAGUCGGCCUGCGCGGAAGAUGUAACGGGGCUAAGUAGUAAACCGAAGCUGCGGCAAUAUACUUUUGAGUAUUGGGUAGGGGAGCGUUCUGUAAGCGGUUGAAGGUGUGUGGUAACGCAUGCUGGACGUAUCAGAAGUGCGAAUGCUGACAUGAGUAACGAUAAAGGGGGUGAAAAACCUCCUCGCCGGAAGACCAAGGGUUCCUGUCCAACGUUAAUCGGGGCAGGGUAAGUCGACCCCUAAGGCGAGGCCGAAAGGCGUAGUCGAUGGGAAACGGGUUAAUAUUCCCGUACUUCUUACAAUUGCGAUGGGGGGACGGAGAAGGCUAGGUGGGCCUGGCGACGGUUGUCCAGGUUCAAGUGCGUAGGCUUAAGAGUUAGGUAAAUCCGGCUCUUUCUAAGGCUGAGACACGACGUCGAGCACCUACGGGUGUGAAGUCAUUGAUGCCAUGCUUCCAGGAAAAGCCUCUAAGCUUCAGAUUGUAAGGAAUCGUACCCCAAACCGACACAGGUGGUCGGGUAGAGAAUACCAAGGCGCUUGAGAGAACUCGGGUGAAGGAACUAGGCAAAAUGGUACCGUAACUUCGGGAGAAGGUACGCUCUUGAUGGUGAAGUCCCUCGCGGAUGGAGCUGACGAGAGUCGCAGAUACCAGGUGGCUGCAACUGUUUAUUAAAAACACAGCACUGUGCAAAAUCGUAAGAUGACGUAUACGGUGUGACGCCUGCCCGGUGCCGGAAGGUUAAUUGAUGGGGUUAGACUUCGGUCGAAGCUCUUGAUCGAAGCCCCGGUAAACGGCGGCCGUAACUAUAACGGUCCUAAGGUAGCGAAAUUCCUUGUCGGGUAAGUUCCGACCUGCACGAAUGGCGUAAUGAUGGCCACGCUGUCUCCACCCGAGACUCAGUGAAAUUGAAAUCGCUGUGAAGAUGCAGUGUACCCGCGGCUAGACGGAAAGACCCCGUGAACCUUUACUACAGCUUGGCACUGAACAUUGACCCUACAUGUGUAGGAUAGGUGGGAGGCUUUGAAGCACGUACGCCAGUAUGUGUGGAGCCGUCCUUGAAAUACCACCCUUGUAGUGUUGAUGUUCUAACGUCGACCCCUAAUCGGGGUUGCGGACAGUGCCUGGUGGGUAGUUUGACUGGGGCGGUCUCCUCCCAAAGAGUAACGGAGGAGCACGAAGGUGGGCUAAUCACGGUUGGACAUCGUGAGGUUAGUGCAAUGGCAUAAGCCCGCUUGACUGCGAGAAUGACAAUUCGAGCAGGUGCGAAAGCAGGUCAUAGUGAUCCGGUGGUUCUGAAUGGAAGGGCCAUCGCUCAACGGAUAAAAGGUACUCCGGGGAUAACAGGCUGAUACCGCCCAAGAGUUCAUAUCGACGGCGGUGUUUGGCACCUCGAUGUCGGCUCAUCACAUCCUGGGGCUGAAGUCGGUCCCAAGGGUAUGGCUGUUCGCCAUUUAAAGUGGUACGCGAGCUGGGUUUAGAACGUCGUGAGACAGUUCGGUCCCUAUCUGCCGUGGGCGUUGGAAGAUUGAAGGGGGCUGCUCCUAGUACGAGAGGACCGGAGUGGACGAACCUCUGGUGUUCGGGUUGUGUCGCCAGACGCAUUGCCCGGUAGCUAAGUUCGGAAUCGAUAACCGCUGAAAGCAUCUAAGCGGGAAGCGAGCCCUGAGAUGAGUCUUCCCUGAUACUUUAAGUAUCCUAAAGGGUUGUCGGAGACUACGACGUUGAUAGGUCAGGUGUGUAAGUGCUGUGAGGCAUUGAGCUAACUGAUACUAAUUGCCCGUGAGGCUUAACCAU
rnacentral:rRNA from 1 species